CAGGUAGUGGAUGCUCGUGACAGCGAUGAAACUACCUCACUUACUUCCACCAUGAGCAUGGAGAGUCACUGACACACAAUGCAAGAGGUUUGCGCACGUGUAUACACUUACACUGGUACGCACACGUACUACGUUUCCACAAGGAAGCACACGAGGGAGAGCGAGCGAACGUGCGAGCGAGCAAACGAAUAGCACGCACACAAAAGAACAUCCUUGCGUAGCGACUGCGCACGCGUACUACACACACGUAUGAUACGUAUUCACUGGGCCUGUGAAUGCCGUCACCGCUGUGGUUGUGUCGAUUGUCGUUGUGUUGGUCGUCGUCGUGGUCUCGUAGACCGCCACUCCACCGUGUCACCUAUACCGGCCACAAGGAACUCGUGUAGAAGCCUCUAACCCGGAGCACACCUACGCACACCAGCGAGCGGAUACACCGCCGACGGACUGUAGCCUCAGGACCGUCAUCACGCUCCCCGCGGACCCGUGGGCUUGUUCACUCGCUCGCUCGCUCACUCGCGUUCCUACCGCCUGUUUGCGUUUCAAGGAAUUCGUCGAUGUGUUUGUACCUUGGUCUCUCGUUUUAAGGAACGGCACCUUAUGAUUUCGAAUUUACUUAAUGCAACGCGUCGAUAACGUUUCGUUUCGCUUUCUGCAAUUACUAUCGGCUCGUUCCACUUCUGUAUAGGUGUUUUCACGUACUCGUCGAAUAUCCACAAUGGCAAGCGAGCGUACCUUACGGUUAGGAUGUGUUCUAUUCUACAAAUCAUUACAAAAUUGAGGAGCUCGGUGAAAACAGACACAUGCCACAAUUUUGUGAUUUUAGAGGAAAGCACAUUGUAGUAGAUUGUGAUUUUCAAAGAAUAUGCGAUACGUAUCGUUAUUUAUUUUAAAGAAUAUAUAAAAUAAGUAGUAAAUGACGAUUGUUAUUAAAUGUUUGUUGCAACAUUCUUUUUAUUAUUACAUUUUUUAUCGAAUGUUGCUAACGUCACCGAGUUUUUACAUAACGCCAGUCAAUGACAAGUGAAUGAUUUGACAAUAAUAGAGUAUGCAAUGAAUUAAAGACUAUAUAAAAAAGCUAAUAAAGCGGGGAAAAAAUUGAUACACAUGUGGCAUGUGCUUGAUUUCCAUUGAGCUACGUAAUUCCAAGUUUUCAUUCUUAGGAACAUUAAACAUUCGUCAUUCGAUUUCUUUUCUCAUUCUAGAUCUUGAAUAUCGUACCUGAUAAGGUUGUAAAUAAAGAUCUGAUUUGAAAUUGAAUUUUUAUUGAUAUUUUACUUAUUUAUUAAAAGAAGAGGAAAAUAUCGAUGUGAUAUAUCAUCAGAAGAAAUCAUAUUUUUGGUAUCACAUGAAGGAGUUAGUUGAUCGAAAAAUUGUUAGUACGCAAUAUUUGAAAGUUCAGUUUAAGUCACUUUGUGAAAAUUUAUUUUAUUAAUCAUGUGUUCUACAAAUGAACAUCGGUUUUUACGCUGACUGCGCAUAAAGUUAUGCUUGCGUAGAAGAAUAAAUAUACAUAAUUCCAGUAAAGAAUUACUGCCAAAGGAAGCUGUAUGGAUUGUUUGAAGUUUUUCAAUAAAGUGAUAACCAUACCUGCUUUUGA